UCUUUGUAUUUUUAUUGUUUUACAAACAAAUUAUAGCAAAGUAAUAACCCUGUCAAAGACGGGAUGCACUUAGUUUGCAUUCUGCACUGUAAUAUCCUCAUAUGGAAGUCAUAAUGCAACUCGCUGGGUUUCAAUCAGACACAUUCCGAGGUCAAUCAGAGAGAUUCCCACGGUAUCAGGUAUUGCACAAUGAAAAUGCAUAAUUACCACACAAGUGCUGGUUGAUGAGCAUGCGACUGCCUCAAGUAAGCAUCAAUCUAAUCAUAGAAAGCGACGAUAUAUGUUAGCGGUGGUGGCUCAGUUGGCAGCGCUGCUGAGAGCGAAAGAGAUCACUUGCUCAUCUCAGGUUCGAUCCGCACAUUAUCCGAAAUCACUUUCAUCUCAGUAAUAUGCACUUCAAAAUGCGUACAAUGUUUACAAAUGACAUUGCAUGUUAUUUCAGUUGCAAACAUCAUUUCAUUCCGAACCAUUGGCCAACAUGUAAAUAAGUUGGUUCACACUGAUACUGAAUGAACAUUUGUUUUACGCCCUAUCGCAAUUAUCAAACAAAUUUGAAAUUGUUUAUGUAUUGGCUACAUCUAUUCUUUAAAAUUCCUCCCGUCAACGAAGGAGGAAGAAGCUCGUACACUUUACAUCAUCGUUCAAUUGUUUGUUUUUUUUCUUUCUGUAAUGUAAUGCUAAUUCAUGCUGCGCUUUCCAUGAAUGCAAAACUCAAUAUCUCCGUCAUUCAGUGGAGGUAGGUACUCUCUUUAAAUUUUUUUGUUUUACAAACAAAUUAUAAUAAAGUAAUAACCAUGCAACAAACGGGAUGCACUUGAUGCGCAUUCUGCUCUGUAAUGUCCUUAUAUGGAAGUCAGAAUGCAACUCGUUGGGCUUCAAUCAGGCACAUUUCUGUGGCAAUGAACGAUUCCAUUCUGGGACAGACGUUUACAAUCCCGUUUGCAUCACGCAACUCGUUCAACUAGCCUACUAAAUUUCUUCGGGUUUUUGGUUCGUCCAAUUUGUUUCUCCGAGUGGGAAAAAUAAUUCCUGGAUUGUGUGCGUUUUUUCCGGUUGCGUUUCUGGUGCAAGAGAAAAUUAAUGAUCAGUGUACUCCGAUUGCCUAAUUUCUCGCGUGAUAACUGCAAUCUCGCAGUUGCUAGAAAUCCGGUUGAGACCAGUCAACACAAUCAACGAGACGCGUGAUUGGAUGUCGUCGUAACCAAACAUAAAUAUUCUAUUCACACCGCCCAAAAUUUAAAAGCUACCCCCCCUCCCCUGUAUGAUGUGGAUUGCAGCGAUUUGUAACAAAAUUUGUUUUAAAUAUUCAUUGAAUAUUUAUACAGUGAUAUUCUCCAGUCUCAACCUGAAAACUAUACCCAUUUCUAAAAACGUCUUUUGACUGCUGAAUCGAAAGAAUCGACCGAAUCACGCGAAUCACACGACUGACGAUCAAUCAAACAGAUCCAAGGUUGUCAAAUCAGGUUGUUCAAUUGUAGAAACCUUAAAAAAUAAAAGAGAAAAAAUGAAAA